UUCAGAGUACACAGAAAUUUGAAUUUUUUACUCCAUUUAUGGAAAUGUACAGAAUCCUAGUGCCUUCCAGAGUGACUCUGGCCUUUUUUUUUUUCUUUUCUUCCCUUCUCCCUUCCCUCAUCCCCUCCUCCUCCCCCUCUUCUUCUUCUGCUUCUUCUUUCCCUUCUUCUUUCUCCUCCUCUUCUUCCUCCUCCUCCUCUGAAGUUAAGAGAAGCUAAUUAACAUGUCUAAAAUCAUAAAACUAGUCCAUAAUGAAAUUAAAAUCCUUGGUUUCUGAUUUGGGCAGUGCAGUGCGUGUUAGUGAACAGCUUCUGAAGACCUUUAGGAAAGUUGUAUGAAAACUGAUUUCAAUCUUGGUCAAAAACUGGAAGAGCUGGCAAAUGCAACUGUCUGGGUAUUUGAAGGUGGUAGGAUUAGGGAGCUGAGAGAGACCUUGUCAGACAGAGUGAUUGGAAUCACCUGGAGCUUUCAAAAACAGCCCUGAUGUUUGAGUUCUAUCUCUCCCAGAUCCUGGUUUAAUUGGUCUUCUGUGCAGCCUGGGAUCUGGAUUUUUUUAAAGGUCCCAGAUGGUUCUAAUAUGCAACCAGGUUGAUGGCCAGUGAGUGUUCCCAUGUGACAGCGUACUUCCCUAAGCUCACCCAGGCACACUCAUCAGUCAAGACCUACCUGUGGACUCUUACAUCGACAAGGACUCUGUCUAGAUUCAUAUGUUUAUGCAUCAAUACAAAAAGCGAGUAUUUGUCAUCUCAUAUUUUUGAACAAGAUGGCACAUCAAAACAUAUACUGGAGACACAGAGAGAGAGAGAGACAGGCAGAGGGAGAAGCAGUCUCCCCACAAGGAGCCCAAUGUGGGACUUGAUCCUGGAUCCUGGAGCUGAAGGCAGAUGCUCAACCACUGAGCCACUCAGGCAUCCCAGCUCUUUUCAACCACUGAAAAAAAGUUAAGAUCAUUAUUGCAAUUUUCCUCUGAAAAAUAAAA